AACUAACCAAACUUAUAUUUAACUCCUUUAACCAUUUUCCCACCAUUUUUUCUCAAGUUCUCACAUAAUUAUCUAUUUUCUUCACUCUCUCACCAUCACCAAAGUUCAUAUUCAUCAUCAUCUAGAACUUCACAUUGAAGUUCUAAAUUUGGUGGAACUUAGCGACAAUCCAAUUUCAACAAAUUAUCAAUCAAGUUUAAACAAUUCACGCAUUAUCAACAAUCAUCAUCCAAAGUUCAUCAAGAUUCAAACAUAUUCAUCAAUAUUCUACAUUCAAGAUUCAACAUCAAGUUUCUACAAUCCAACCAAGAUUCUACAAUCAUCAAAGCUUCUACAUUCAACCAUAAUUAUCAAGCAAAGAUUAAUUGGAUUAAAGGAGCUUACUUAAAAGUUUUUCGGGUUUCUCU
rnacentral:lncRNA from 1 species